GUGGGGAAUCUUGCGCAAUGGGCGAAAGCCUGACGCAGCCAUGCCGCGUGAAUGAUGAAGGUCUUAGGAUUGUAAAAUUCUUUCACCGGGGACGAUAAUGACGGUACCCGGAGAAGAAGCUCCGGCUAACUUCGUGCCAGCAGCCGCGGUAAUACGGAGGGUGCAAGCGUUAUCCGGAAUCACUGGGUUUAAAGGGUACGUAGGCGGUUAAUUAAGUCAGUAGUGAAAGACUGUCGCUCAACGACGGAUGUGCUAUUGAUACUGGUUAACUUGAAUCAGGUUAGAGUUGGCGGAAUGGGUCAUGUAGCGGUGAAAUGCUUAGAUAUGACUUGGAACACCGAUAGCGAAGGCAGCUGACUGAGCCUUGAUUGACGCUGAGGUACGAAAGUGUGGGUAGCGAACAGGAUUAGAUACCCCAGUAGUCC
rnacentral:rRNA from 1 species